rnacentral:rRNA from 1 species
CCCUAGUAACUGCGAGUGAAGCGGGAAAAGCUCAAAUUUAAAAUCUGGCAGUCUUUGGSUGUCCGAGUUGUAAUCUAGAGAAGUGUUAUCUGCGCUGGACCGUGUAUAAGUCUCCUGGAAUGGAGCGUCGUAGAGGGUGAGAAUCCCGUCUUUGACAUGGACUACCAGGGCUUUGUGAUGCGCUCUCAAAGAGUCGAGUUGUUUGGGAAUGCAGCUCUAAAUGGGUGGUAAAUUCCAUCUAAAGCUAAAUAUUGGCGAGAGACCGAUAGCGAACAAGUACCGUGAGGGAAAGAUGAAAAGAACUUUGGAAAGAGAGUUAAACAGUACGUGAAAUUGUUGAAAGGGAAACACUUGAAGUCAGUCGCGUUGGCCAGGGAUCAACCUUGCUUUUUUAUGUAUGGUGUAUUUCCUGGUUGAUGGGUCAGCAUCAAUUUUGACUGGUGGAUAAAGGUUGGGGGAAUGUGGCAUCUUUGGAUGUGUUAUAGCCCCUGACUGUAUACAUCAGUUGGGAUUGAGGAACUCAGCAUGCUGGAAAGGCCAGGUUUUUUAAAAACCAUGUUCAUGCUUAGGAUGCUGGCAUAAUGGCUUUAAUUGACCCGUCUUGAAACACGGACCAAGGAGUCUAACAUGCAUGCGAGUGUUUGGGUGGAAAACCCGAGUGCGUAAUGAAAGUGAAAAUUGAGAUCCCUGUCAUAGGGAGCAUUGAUGCCCGGACCAGACCUUCUGUGACGGAUCCGCGGUUGAGCAUGUAUGCUGGGACCCGAAAGAUGGUGAACUAUGCCUGAAUAGGGUGAAGCCAGAGGAAACUCUGGUGGAGGCUCGCAGCGAUUCUGACGUGCAAAUCGAUCGUC